rnacentral:tRNA from 1 species
GGGGGUAUAGCUCAGGGGUAGAGCAUGUGCUUAGCGUGCACAAGGUCCUGGGUUCAAUUCCCAGUACCCCCA